AAAGAAAUGAAAUACUAGAAAAUAAAAAUAUUUAUUUGAUAAUACAAUGAAAUAAUUUUUUUCAGUAUAUUAUUCGUGAUACUUUGUAAAAAAUGUGAGCCAAUUCAAUGUCGAUUCGAGAUCAAAAUAGUUAUUGGCAAUUUUGAUUUUCUCAAUUUCUCUGUAGCUCUGUAGAAACAUCGUGAUAUCGAAACCCCGCGAAUGCAAUUGCGACGACGAUAUAUUCAAUCGCUGCGGCAAGAAAGUGGGCAGAGGAAGAACUGAGAACGGGUUUAUUAAUUGUUUAUUAAUCGAGUUUAAUUGUAUAAUUUCGGAACAAUGACGAUUUUGACUCACCACUCUUGCGCGCGACCUCGAGCGUUUCCCUUUUUCUUUCGAAGACCAAGGAAGACGGGUGGGACGAAGGAGAAAGAGGAAGUGAAGUGCGCGAGGAAGACGCGCGCAGCGGAGAGGAGAAAACCGAUGGGGAGGGAGGUUGCCGGUGCACGUUCCAGAAAACUGGUCGCCAUGUCGACUCCCGUCUCUCUUCCUCUCCCUCUCCAUCCCUCUCUCCCUGCUCCCUUUUCUCCGUCAAUGCCACCGACUGUAUGCACCGCGCCAUCACGAGAUAUCGUCCGUUGCACUUUUCAAGCUCGCGCACGAGUGCGUAGAAGGAGGAAGGAGCGAAGAGAGAAUUGGCGAGAGGUGCAACGAAAGAAGGAGAAAGAGAGGAAAGGGAGGAUAGAAAGCCAUGGUCCGUCCGGCGCGCGAGGGAAAACAAAAUCGUUAAGCGACGCUCAUCCCGUUGUGCGAUGUUGUCGCGAACGAGGGCUACGAGACGACCGACCGAAAGAGAGAGAGAGAGAGAGAGAGAGAGAGAGAGACGCGGCCUUCGCACCACUCGCUCUCGUUCGCGACCUUUGAUCGACGACGACGACGAGACGACGAUGGAGCAGCGCAGUAGCGCGGAUUUGAUUCGAUCAGCUGGGCUCAGCUUCGAGCGGUCGCUGCAAAUUACAGCGGGGUUAUAAUCGGAUCCGCGGAAGUGCGAGUUGAGAAACGCGAGUAUCGCGAUUAACGUUAACGAUCGGAGGGUCCGAUCGACGCGAACGGGUCGGCGCGAGACGCGCGGCAGGACGCGCGACUGCGACCCCGAAAUCGCAUCAAUGACGCCUGCUGCCUCGACAUGUACCAGCGACGUACGUCGUCGCCUACGACGACAGGGAUUUUCGAUCACCGUAACGCGCCGGUCGAUUUUCGAAGAGCGAAAGACCUUAGGCGGGAUAACGGGCUAUCCUCUCUCCCACUCGUUGCAACGGAGCUGGCAACGCCAUUGGCAAACGGCAACGCUGGCCGUUCGAUCGUAGGAGGGAUAAACGGGGAAGGUACACGGCGCGCGCGGCGGAGUGGGGAAUCGUCUCGUUCCGUUCGGUACCUCGCCUGCCUAGGGUCCCUCGUUCCCUACGCCGCUGGCACUGAAUUUCGCACCGUCGAAAAAGGGCUAUGCGGAGAGGUAGGGUCGAAGGAAGCGAAAGCAGCGGGAUCGGCAGAGGGGAGGAGGAGCGAGGGGCGGAAGGCAGGCCAUGUGCGCGAAACUACUCCGAAUGCGUUCUCUUCGGCUCGCCUUCACGCGGAAUUCGUUGCGAUCGUCCUCUCUUUCCCUCCCUCCCUUUCUCUCUCUCUCUCUCUCUCUCUCUUCCUCUGUUUCUCUUUCGCUCCUUCAAGUCCGCGGAAAAGCAAAUUCUCUUCCGUGUCACUGAACUCGCUGGUCGUCUGACCCCGUCGUUUUUCCGCACAAGGUGCGCGCCUCGACCUCGUCCCUCCUCGACGAAUGUGGUGGAAUGGAGUUGCCUUUCUUUCUCUCUCUUUCUCUUCCACUCUUUCGACCUCGUGCCACGUAUCGCUGUGCCGAUAAAUCGAAUUGAGUCGUCGCGAAGAGCAAAGGUGCGAACGUUUCUUCCGUGAGGCCAUUAGGCUAUAUUAUGUAUGUAUUAUGUAGUGUAUCUCUGACGUGACGCGUCCAAACUUCUGCAACGCAAUACUGUUAACGUCGCGGCUUUCAAGUCGCGUGACAUGCGAAAGACAUGCGAGCUAGAUGACGAUGUUCCCCCCUUCCCCCACCCCCCGCACACUUGGCGAUCGUUUCCUCGAGUCCACUCGAGAAACUUGGGAACUUGAAUAGCGACAUCUUCGCCGUCGACGUCCCACUGUACAGAUCACUCGCGUUCUCGUCGAUCGCUCGUACCUAUGGGUUGACUCUGGACCGUCGGUGCUCCACAAAAGGCCACCCUCGAACGGUCGACGGUCGGCCCUUCGCCGACCGUUCGAGAUUAUCGGCGCUCUCUCGUUUGGCCGUCGCGCACCUCGCGACCGCGAGGAAGGCCUCGCGGGACAUUGGCCUCGGCGGGAGCCAAUAAAAUCCCUCUCUCUAUCGGGUAAGCGACACUCUCCCGCUCUUUCCGCUUUCGCUUACCCCCUCUCGCGCGUCUCGCGCCACCCCUACUCUCCCCCCGCGAGGAAAACCCUCGAGAAGGCACGGCGCGGCGAUGAACGGACGGACGGACGGAUCCUCGUCCGUGACACCGAGGCACACAGAUGCGUCGAAUGCGAGCGAGCGGCCGUGCGGCGCGUCGCCACGGACAAGGUGACCAUCGAGGAGAGAGCUCCACUCCGCUCGCGUAUUAAGCUAGACGAGCGAAGGAUAGAACGGCGCGGCGAGAAACGCAACGCGCCGCGACAGUUUUGCCAGUUCCUCCGUUCCCCUCAGUCGUCGCGUUCCUCCCGUCCAUCGCAGUGCAGCGCAGCGGCGGCGUCUGUGUCCGUCCGUUCGUUCGUUCGUUCGUUCGUUCGUUCAUUCGUUCGUUCGUCCGCGAGUGGUGCGCCCGGGCGCGCACAGUCCGUCGCUGUCACCGCCGAAGGCUGCUUCCUCUCUCUUUCUUCCACCGAUUUUCCGUUCUCCUCCCCCGUCUAAAUAAAAUUGCGUCGUGCGUUUCCGCGAGAGAGAAAGAGAGAGAGAGAGAGAGAGAGAAAGAUGCGGAGAUUUCGCGACGCAAAGUGUGCCGACGUCGUCCGCCCAAUCGAUGCUCCUCCACCGCGCGCGCGGUUCCACUCCCCCCCAGAUGAUACGUGUGCACCGUGCGACGACCGAGCGACAUAUGCAUCCGCGCGGCGGAGAACGCGAGGGAGAACGAGAGUCAUACGUCUUACUCAGUGGCUGGCUGGCUGGCUGGCUGGCUGAAUGGCCGCGGCGGCGAUGACGAUGACGACGACGACGACGUCGCGUUGUGUGCAUCAAACGACGUACGACGCAUCGAUGCGACGGACGGCGGAUGCGUCGUCUUACGCGUCAUCGCAUUAUGAACGGACGAGGAGCCCCGCCGUGCGAGCCGUGUGAAACGAGAAAAGAGUGUUCUUUUCCUCUCAAGUGCGAGUGCGCGAGUGCAUCUUUCUUCCUCCCCCGCGCGCUCGCGCGCCGGGCGGGGGGCCUCCGUUUCCGCGAAGUGCGUGAACCAGUGGGAAUGUGCGCACUUUGGGAGUUACGCGCGUCGAUACGUGGGAUCGUGUUGUGUUGAACUCGACUCGGCGAGAGAGGAACGAAAAUGCGAGUAAAACGAGAAGAAAGAGAAAUACAGGAAGAGAGAGAGAGAGAGAGAGGUCUCGGUGACCGCGCGCUGCAUUAUCGAUGAUGCUUGCGCUUCUCUUUAUCUAUCUAUCUCCCUCUCGCUCUCUAUCUCUCUCUUGUCUGGCUAGCUCUACUCACCGAGCGAUCGAACCCACCCUCCUCCCCCUUUUCGACGUUUCUCGCAUAUGGCUGGCGUGCGUUUUCCGCGGUCACCCGCGUCGAUGUUUCGCGAAAAUCAUUUUUCGCAUUCCGCGGUCGCGCCCGACUACAGCACUCUCUCUCUCUCUCUCUCUCUCUCUUUACUCCCCCUCCCCCUCCUACUUCUCCUUCUCCUGCUCCUCCUCCUCCGCCUCCUCCUCUCUCCUCUCUCCUACUCCUUCGCCUCCCGGCGAUCGACGAUCGCAAUUUAAUUUGGCCGGUCGACGAAAAUUAGAUUAGUGCUUCUCGCGCUUCUAUUCUCAGAGCUCCGCGACGCACGUGGUGCGAGGUGACGAUGACUCGGCGUGGACGGCAGAGUUCGAUAGUGAAGAAGGAAAAGACAGGCGUCAGAUACGUUCGCGCUCGAACGUCUCGCAAACGUAUCGCGUUGCCCGUACGGUCGAUUGAGUUCCGCUAUACGAGACGAGACGUCGUUUGACUCGCGAAUUUGAGGAAUCUUCUCCGAGCCGAUCCUGCCUGAUAGAAUCCGACGCUACGCCGGGGAAAUAUCGAGUGUCGCGCCGCGAGGCGAUCGCGUCCAGACGAGAACGGAUCUCGCUCGUCGACCGAAGGUAGGCGAGAACGCAUUUUUCGAAUGUGCAUUGGGUUUAAGGCUCACGCAGCGACGUUGCAGUUUACGCCGUCUCGCGUCGUCGGAGAGCGAUCGUAAAAAAUAUCGCGGGACGAUAUUUUUUUUUCUUCUUCCUUUUUUAUUUUACUUUGGACGAUUUGGAGCUCGCGUUCGAUCCGCCACGUUAUCGCGUCGUUCUCGCAUCACGCUCUAUCCCAUUCAGUUCGAGUUAACGAGCGGCAUAUACGCGCUACUGGCUCGAGCUUUCUGCGCGUCCGUCUUCGCGAUUUAUCUCGCGAUCAUAUUUGCCAGCUGUGUUGCGAUCAGACAUGCAUGGAAAUCGGGCUGUCCGCGGGGAGAACAUUUAGUUAGGGACGUGUCUAUUCCGAGAGUUGUCGACUUUGACCUGGGAGCGCGUAUAUCCGAAACGAUAUUUUCCUAUUUUCUCUACGGUAUGGCGAAAUGUAUCGACGGAUUGUAGUCGAAGGUGACUUCAAUCGAAGCCUUUGUCUCGAGGAGAGCACGAAAGGAAGGAAGGAUUUUUCGCUGCUAGGAGAAAGAGAGAGAGAGAGAGACGGACGAUAAAAUUACCCUUAACCUCGGUGAAUACAUACGUCCGGGGUCAAUGACACCCUGUUGUCUCGUUUCCCCUCUCGCGCAUGCGCAUGGUUUUGACAGUUUCGCGGAGCGAAAGGAGGAUUCUAGGAGCAUAGGACACGCUCGCCGACGCGACGAUGCUGUUUUGCUCGUUAAUACGGAACAAUGAUCGGUUUCCGGUGUGCGCGGCUCCGGAGUGCGGGAGAGUGCGAGAGAGACGUUACGUUCAGUGAGACAUUCCCCGAGGAGGAUGAGGGGAAAGAAGACAGGAACGAGAGACGUUGACGUUGCUGGAUUUUAGUUUAGCAUCCCUGUGUGCUCUUCGUAUCGUCGUACGUGGACCUGAUCCAAGGUUUGCCGCAGGCCACCUUCCGGUCUGGACCUCUCCCGCCGUGGACCUCUCAGGAUCUCUCUCCCCCAGGAGACUUCUUCUCUGGACUUCUUCGUCUGCGCGGAUAGAGCCCGGGGGACGAUAGUUAUCGGCUAUACUUGAUGACACUAACCCGUAGAUCCGAACUUGUGGGCUUUUUUAUAUGCAUACCGCAAGCUCCUAUCUACCGGUACAUGUAGUCAGGCCGGCGUUAAAACUUUUCGACGGAUCCUCCUUCCUUCCUUUUCAUCAUCAUCAUCAUCAUCAUCAUCAUCAUCACCACCACCACCACCACUGUUACCACCAUAACCACCACUACCACCACCACUACUACCAUCACUACCACCACCGCCACCACCACCACCACCACCACUACCAACACCACCACCACCAUCACCAACCAUCAUCACCAUACUAACCCUCCGUUCCCCCGAAUGCCCGCGGUGCUUCCGGUUAUCAGCGACUGACUUCUUGUCGAGUAAUUUCCUCGCACGUGAGAAAGGGCACCACGUUUUACAUCUGCCGACCGUUAAAGCGCGAUCGACAUGCGUCGUUAAAGUUAAGGAAUAUCGUCGUCCAAUGAACUCCAAAGAGUUACCAAACGUGAUGACGUUCGAGCGUCAACAAAAACACGCUCUUUAUGUUGUGUGAUAUGUUGUAAAGCGAUAUCUUUAAACGCUCUCAUUGUAAAACAAAGCGCAUUUCUCUGAAAUCUGGAGAUGGAGGCUCUUCCGUGCGGCGAGCCGUUUCUGCAAAGCCAAGAGAAAAAGAUUGUAAAAGACAUUUAGGUAAAUAAGGUAUCGAUUAGGUAUAUUGGCAGGCGAGCGAAAUGAUUAUGAGAGCAGUGGAGCGUUAUAUGUGGAACAAUAAUGAAUGCUAUAUGUGAGAACAAAUUUAAUUUUUUCGUCGCUUAUUGAAAUUGCGAUCGACGUAUCCAACAAUGUGACAUGUUUUGUAUUUAAUUGUACGUUAUCGAAGGAUGUGAGCCGCGAAUUCGGACGAACCUCGAGUCGAGCGCGCCUUGAGAGAUUCGCCCGGCGAGUCGAGCGUUUAGAGGGAGAUGAAACGAGAGGCGACCUGUGUCGAAAAGUCAGUCGGGUGAGUUAAGGGCGUGGAGAAGAACGGCGGAUGGAGCGGCGGACGAGAGAGGAGAAGCCCCCGCGACGACGUCUGGGUGAGGUAGUAGGUUGUAUAGUAGGGAAUGGAAAUUCGCGAGAUACGAAGUCCACUGUACAACUUGCUAACUUUCCCGGUCGUCGGCGCUGCGACGUUGCUGGCGCUGCGACGGAGCCGCUCCCGAGGACCACUGUCGCGAGACCCGCGCCGCGAGAGCGGGAGGAAUCUCUCCGCGAAGAAAAAGAAAAAAAAAAGAAAAGAAACAGCCUCUUGUUUUUCUUUACGCGAAUGUAUAAGUCGGACUUGUAUAACGCCUUGCGCCUUACAACGAAUGCGUACGCGUGGCAUUUUCUCUUGGUGUAAAUGCGUACGUGUGCACGUAUGCGUAUGUGCGCGUGUAGUAUGCGUGUGUGAGUGCGUGCGUGAAGACGAGGGUAGCGUAUUUUCGCAACCGUAUAAUUCUCUUACGAGCGAGACGAGGCGCGAAACGAUUUUUUCGUUCGGUACUCAUAUAGGCCGGUAUUCAUAGUCGAUUCUUAUAUUUAAGAUCAUCUCGAGUAUUGCCUUAAGAUCAUCAAUCAAUCAGAGAGCCGUAUUAGCCGUAUUAGCUUCUUAAGGCAUUACUUAGAAUUGUUUUGAAAUAGAAAUUGAAUAAGAAUCGACUAUGAAUACCGGCCAUAGUCAGUUCUUACCUCAAGACCGUCCUGAGUAAUGUCUUAGGAUAUACGGCUCUUUUUACGAUUGGUUUAUAUUAAAUCUUUCUGAAUACAAGAGCCAACUGUGAAUAUCGGCCUUCGACGUACGAGAGAAGCCCUUUCGUCUCGGAAUACACGUCCAUUUAUGUACUCUCUCUUUGCGAGCGUUAUAAUUGCGUAACGAGCGCAAGAAAUGUGUUUCUAUCCCUUCAUUGGCACUUCCGUUUCUCGUUCUCCAAGCGCGAUUCUUGCAGAUCCAGCUAGGCUUCCGCUCGAGAGCCGCACUCGGGAGAUCCUCGGUAAAUGCGCGACUGAAACGUGUCGAAAUAAUUUCCCGGCCCCUCCACUUUGUCGCCGCGAUUCCUUCGAGAGAUUUCGGGGUAAUAAUUCGCGACGCACUGUCCGGGGCAGCCGUGAAUUUGCAUAAGAUCCUCUUGCAAAAGAGAAAGGGCGAAACGAUCGCGGAGCGCGAGGGUGAGAUGGAGAUAGCAUGAGUGGUGAGAGUGAGCGUGAGAGAGAGAGAGAGAAAGAGAGAAAAAAAGGGCAAUGGCGGGCGGGCUGAUUGUAAAGCCUGCCGCGUCGCCGGU